UACGAAGGGGGCUAGCGUUGUUCGGAAUUACUGGGCGUAAAGGGCGCGUAGGCGGCCCGCUAAGUCGAACGUGAAAUCCCCGAGCUCAACUCGGGAACUGCGUCCGAUACUGGUGGGCUUGAAUCCGGGAGAGGGAUGCGGAAUUCCAGGUGUAGCGGUGAAAUGCGUAGAUAUCUGGAGGAGCACCGGUGGCGAAGGCGGCAUCCUGGACCGGCAUUGACGCUGAGGCGCGAAAGCUAGGGGAGCAAACGGG
rnacentral:rRNA from 1 species